rnacentral:rRNA from 1 species
UACGGAGGAUGCGAGCGUUAUCCGGAUUUAUUGGGUUUAAAGGGUGCGUAGGCGGAUCGUUAAGUCAGUGGUCAAAUUGAGGGGCUCAACCCCUUCCCGCCAUUGAAACUGGCGAUCUUGAGUGGAAGAGAAGUAUGCGGAAUGCGUGGUGUAGCGGUGAAGUGCAUAGAUAUCACGCAGAACCCCGAUUGCGAAGGCAGCAUGCCGGCUUCCUACUGACGCUGAAGCACGAAAGCGUGGGGAUCGAACAGG